rnacentral:rRNA from 1 species
GACGCUCUCCCCAAGGACGAAGCCAUGCAUGCCCGCUCACCCGGGACGCGGCGGACGGCUCAGGACGACGGUUGCACCCCCCGCGGCGGUCCCUGCUAGCCGGACACCGCUGGCAAC